rnacentral:rRNA from 1 species
AUACAGAGGGUGCAAGCGUUAAUCGGAAUUACUGGGCGUAAAGCGCGCGUAGGUGGUUAGGUAAGUUGGAUGUGAAAGCCCUGGGCUCAACCUGGGAAUGGCAUUCAAAACUGGCUGACUAGAGUAUGGUAGAGGGAAGGGGAAUUCCAGGUGUAGCGGUGAAAUGCGUAGAUAUCUGGAGGAACAUCAGUGGCGAAGGCGCCUUCCUGGACUAAUACUGACACUGAGGUGCGAAAGCGUGGGUAGCAAACAGGAUUAGAUACCCUAGUAGUCC